GAUGAACGCUAGCUACAGGCUUAACACAUGCAAGUCGAGGGGCAGCAUGGUCUUAGCUUGCUAAGGCCGAUGGCGACCGGCGCACGGGUGAGUAACACGUAUCCAACCUGCCGUCUACUCUUGGACAGCCUUCUGAAAGGAAGAUUAAUACAAGAUGGCAUCAUGAGUCCGCAUGUUCACAUGAUUAAAGGUAUUCCGGUAGACGAUGGGGAUGCGUUCCAUUAGAUAGUAGGCGGGGUAACAGCCCACCUAGUCUUCGAUGGAUAGGGGUUCUGAGAGGAAGGUCCCCCACAUUGGAACUGAGACACGGUCCAAACUCCUACGGGAGGCAGCAGUGAGGAAUAUUGGUCAAUGGGCGAGAGCCUGAACCAGCCAAGUAGCGUGAAGGAUGACUGCCCUAUGGGUUGUAAACUUCUUUUAUAAAGGAAUAAAGUCGGGUAUGGAUACCCGUUUGCAUGUACUUUAUGAAUAAGGAUCGGCUAACUCCGUGCCAGCAGCCGCGGUAAUACGGAGGAUCCGAGCGUUAUCCGGAUUUAUUGGGUUUAAAGGGAGCGUAGAUGGAUGUUUAAGUCAGUUGUGAAAGUUUGCGGCUCAACCGUAAAAUUGCAGUUGAUACUGGAUAUCUUGAGUGCAGUUGAGGCAGGCGGAAUUCGUGGUGUAGCGGUGAAAUGCUUAGAUAUCACGAAGAACUCCGAUUGCGAAGGCAGCCUGCUAAGCUGCAACUGACAUUGAGGCUCGAAAGUGUGGGUAUCAAACAGGAUUAGAUACCCUGGUAGUCCACACGGUAAACGAUGAAUACUCGCUGUUUGCGAUAUACUGCAAGCGGCCAAGCGAAAGCGUUAAGUAUUCCACCUGGGGAGUACGCCGGCAACGGUGAAACUCAAAGGAAUUGACGGGGGCCCGCACAAGCGGAGGAACAUGUGGUUUAAUUCGAUGAUACGCGAGGAACCUUACCCGGGCUUAAAUUGCAGAUGAAUUACGGUGAAAGCCGUAAGCCGCAAGGCAUCUGUGAAGGUGCUGCAUGGUUGUCGUCAGCUCGUGCCGUGAGGUGUCGGCUUAAGUGCCAUAACGAGCGCAACCCUUGUUGUCAGUUACUAACAGGUUCCGCUGAGGACUCUGACAAGACUGCCAUCGUAAGAUGUGAGGAAGGUGGGGAUGACGUCAAAUCAGCACGGCCCUUACGUCCGGGGCUACACACGUGUUACAAUGGGGGGUACAGAGGGCCGCUACCACGCGAGUGGAUGCCAAUCCCCAAAACCUCUCUCAGUUCGGACUGGAGUCUGCAACCCGACUCCACGAAGCUGGAUUCGCUAGUAAUCGCGCAUCAGCCACGGCGCGGUGAAUACGUUCCCGGGCCU
rnacentral:rRNA from 1 species